AUUCAAUAGCGCUAUUAAGAGCCGUUUUGCUGAAUUUUCGCGAUUUUUUGCUGCUGUGGGUUUAUGCUGUAUUGGCCCGUAAUGCACAUUGCGUAGUCAACAUAAACAAGUCCGAAGAAACAUCCACACUCUUAUGCUUUUGUGGAUAGCCCACACUGGCAACAUAAAUAAGCAGUAUAAUGGCAAUUUAAUAGUGGGCUUAAGUUAAGGAGACCAAACUGGGAAAACCCCGAACAGCUCUCCUGUGUGGCUAGGUGUUAUAUAAAUAAUCUCGCGUGCCACAGUAACGUUUUUCUGUUGUUGCUAUUUUGCAAGUCAGUAUCAGAGCUGCCCCUCGUAGUAACAAUGGCAAAUUCAGUGACGGUUUUUAUGCUGUCGAUGUUGUUCUUUGCCGUGAUUAAUGUCACCAGUGGUGAACAUGUGGGACUGAGUGCCGGGGUCACAGCAAUUAUGAUCCACUAUGUGGAGCGGAUGGACGGACGUAUACGAACGAAUGCUGGAUUGGGUGUUACGGCGUGAACGUGGCCUGCGUCGGUUCGUGUCCCUGUCCACCGCCACAUCAUGACGGCUGAACCCAACCUUUGGUAGUGGGUACCGGACGAUCAUCCAGGGAUUUCGCUAAGCGCUUGAAAAAAGUGCAGUGACCUAUUAGUAAUUGCAUCGUUGUUAAUCCACUGUAAUUACAGGUAUCUUCUUGCGGAAGUUAGAAUAGAUACAGAAGUCAGAAUAGGAUUAUACCAUGAACAUUAAUAAGCGACACUUUCCGUUUUGACAGCACAUGUACAGCAGAAUUGGAAGUCUUCAACAGUUUUUGUAAAGGAAAUACCGAGCUUCAACUGAGAUAAAACUCGGUCUUAUCUUUAUAAAAUCUAUUUUCCUUUGCUUUGGUUUGGCUUAAUUAUAAAGUUUGUACGGUAGACAGUAGACUCCUAUGGAGGGCUACUACUAAGUGCUGUUAGCAGUUUGUUAUGUGCAUUUUAAGAAUGG